GGAAUUUGUAAAAGAAGUUCUUCCAACUCUCCUGCUUUACUUGCACAGCUCGUACAAGUAUGUUGAGGGUUAUGCUCACAUUAGGAGUUGGCCUCAGGUUUUCAACUGAGAAAACAUCUUUAAGACAUCAAUUGUUGCUGCAGAUUUGCAUUCAGCCUGUCAAAAUAAAAGGGAAGCAGACGAGCACUCUGUCGAUAUGCUGAAGUGGGUACAGGAUGCCUGCGCCGAGGCCACAUAGGAAGAAGCCUGUCAGAAGCAGACGCAGCAGCAGUGAAUGGAUGCCCAUAAGCUUCUGAUGGUUGUUUUAGAUAUAAACAAAACAUGGUGUUGCGUUGGGAGAACUCAGGUAAAGACAGACUGUCCAAGCUAAAACUGUGUUGCAAAGAUGGCCAACGGGCUGGCUGCAGACAGACACAAAGCAGAUUAAAGUAGAAAAGCAGCAUGAAUCAGUUUAACAAAAUUGUGAGACUUUAACGAAUGACAAAUAAAUAUGCAAACUAAAAUCGAAGACAAUGCUACAUGUCAAACAUGGAAAAUGAUGUUAAUUUCAUAGUGCAAUUUAAAUAGAGACUGUGUUCCACAAAUAAAAU